AAUAAUAUUAUGAGAUAAUUAAUAUUUUUACUCCUACAUUACAGAAGGGAGAACUAAGGCAUAGAGAUACUAAGUUAUUUGCCCAAGAUCAGAGUCAGUAAAUGAUAGAGCUCGGAUUCAAACUUAGCAGUCUGGCCUCUUAACUACUACCCAUGCUACCUCAUAAAGCUCAGAAAAGAUUAUUGUGUACCCCCUCAUAUGUAAUUAUGCUGUCAUAUCUCCUCCCAGGAUACUAUGAGAACCCUCUCCUUUAUCCCCUUAUCAUUAUAAUGCAUGUCUGGGGUUUACCUAUUACACACUGAAAAAAGAAUUAGGAAACCUUUGAAAGAGACAAUCUGAUUUGGAAGAAAUUGAUUUCUCAAAAUGGAUCUGGAAGAGCAAAAGUUCCAAGAAUAACUGAGAAGCAAUUCUGAAAAAGUAGAGCGUGGAACAACUUGCCCUACCAGGUAUCAAGAUUUAUUAUCAAAAUAUUUCGUAAUGAGGACAACAGAGUUUGGGCAAAAGGAUAAACCAAUGGAACAGAACAGAAAGCCUAGCCACUGGCCCACCCAUGUUUGGAAACAAUAUCAGUUACAGAUGGUGUUACAAAUCCAUGUGGAAAGGGUGGUCUAUUUAAUAAAUUAAUCCUAGGAACAACUUUUGUCCAUAUGGAAAAUACAAAAUUAGAUUUCUCCCUUAAAUCAACCCUAUAUAAAGAACUAAAAACAAAAGGAAAAAUUUUAAAGCAUAAGAUGAAAAUGUAGAAAAAUUCUUUAUGACCUUAAGAAUAAGGAGCAAUUUCUCUUUAAAAAAAAAUAGAAAACGUGAAAAUUUGAUAAUUUUGACUACAUUAAAAUUAACUUCUGCAUAAGAAAAGGCCACUAUAACAAAGUGAAAAACAAGCCAUAGCUUGGGAGAAGGUACUUGCAGUGAGUGUAAUGUAUAAAGAAACCUCUCAAAUUAAUUGGAAAAAGAUAUAUAGCAUUGGAGAGAAAUGGGAAAAGAAUAUAAACUAUUGAUUUGUAGAAGAGGAACCCCAGAAGGUCAAUAGAAAUACAAAAAGAUUCUUGCUUCCACUAUAAAGCAAAGAAAUACAAAUCAAAACAUUGAUAAAAUACCAUUUACACCUACGAGAUCAGCAAAAAUUUAUGUCGGCCAACGCCAAGUGUUGGCAGAGCUGUUAAAUCAUGGAAACUCAUUCCCUGCUAGUGGGAUUGUAAGUUGGUACAAGUACUUUGGAAAGUUGUAGGUGGUCAUGUCCAGAAAUUCUUCUCCUGGGCAUCUAGUCCUGUAUGUGAGCACGAAGAGACAUGUAUUAAGAUGCUUGCUAUAGCAUGGAGAUCAAUAAGAGAAUGGAUAAGUAAAUCAUAUUACAGUUAUACAAUGCAAUACAGUCUAGCAUGUGUCAGCAUAGAUAAAAAUCUCACAAUUGGAAUGCGAAUCUCACAUUUUUAAGGGAGAAAUGAACACUGCAGAAGAUUAUGAUAUUGUAUAUAUACACAUACAUAGUUUAAAAGCUGGCAGGGAAUAAUAAUACUUUAUAAUGUUUUUGGAUACAUAAAAAUGCAAUAAAAAUAGUAAAAAACGUAAAAACACACAUGAGGAUGAUUAACACUGAAUUCAAAACAGUGCUUAGGGGCACCUGGGUGGCUCAGUCAGUUGAGCAUCUUACUCUCAAUUUCAGCUCAGGUCAUGAUUGUAUGGCCUUGAGAUGGAGCCCCGUGUCGGAAUUGUCUCUCUCCCUCUCUGUCCCUCCCCCGCUCUCACAAGCUCUCUCUCGCUCUCUC